UACGUAGGAUGCAAGCGUUGUCCGGAAUUACUGGGCGUAAAGCGCGCGCAGGCGGUUUUUCAAGUCAGUGGUGAAAGCCCGGAGCUCAACUCCGGAACUGCCAUUGAAACUGUGAAACUUGAGGAUGAGAGAGGUGAGUGGAAUUCCCAGUGUAGAGGUGAAAUUCGUAGAUAUUGGGAAGAACACCGGUGGCGAAGGCGGCUCACUGGCUCAUUUCUGACGCUCAGGCGCGACAGCGUGGGGAUCAAACAGG
rnacentral:rRNA from 1 species